CCUACGGGAGGCAGCAGUGGGGAAUAUUGCACAAUGGGGGAAACCCUGAUGCAGCGACGCCGCGUGAGUGAAGAAGUAUUUCGGUAUGUAAAGCUCUAUCAGCAGGGAAGAAAUAGCGACCUUUGGGUCGCCAGACGGUACCUGAUUAAGAAGCCCCGGCUAACUACGUGCCAGCAGCCGCGGUAAUAAGUAGGGGGCAAGCGUUAUCCGGAUUUACUGGGUGUAAAGGAGGCGUAGACGGCAGCGCAGGUCUGAAGUGAAAUGCCGGGGCUUAACCCCGGAACUGCUUUGGAAAUUGUGCAGCUAGAGUGCAGGAGAGGUAAGUGGAAUUCCUAGUGUAGCGGUGAAAUGCGUAGAUAUUAGGAGGAACACCAGUGGCGAAGGCGGCUUACUGGACUGUAACUGACGUUGAGGCUCGAAAGCGUGGGGAGCAAACAGGAUUAGAUACCCUUGUAGUC
rnacentral:rRNA from 1 species